CCUACGGGAGGCAGCAGUGAGGAAUAUUGGUCAAUGGGCGAGAGCCUGAACCAGCCAAGUCGCGUGAGGGAGUACUGCCCUAUGGGUUGUAAACCUCUUUUGUCGGGGCGCAAAAGCCGGACGUGUCCGGCUGUGAGAGUACCCGAAGAAAAAGCAUCGGCUAACUCCGUGCCAGCAGCCGCGGUAAUACGGAGGAUGCGAGCGUUAUCCGGAUUUAUUGGGGUUAAAGGGUGCGCAGGCGGAGUUUUAAGUCAGCGGUCAAAUCGUGGGGCUCAACCCCAUCCAGCCGUUGAAACUGGGGAUCUAGAGUGUGCGAGAGGUAUGCGGAAUGCGUGGUGUAGCGGUGAAAUGCAUAGAUAUCACGCAGAACCCCGAUUGCGAAGGCAGCAUACCGGUGCACAACUGACGCUCAGGCACGAAAGCGUGGGUAUCGAACAGGAUUAGAUACCCUUGUAGUC
rnacentral:rRNA from 1 species